rnacentral:rRNA from 1 species
AACCUCCGCAAUGUGAGAAAUCGCGACGGGGGGAUCCCAAGUGCCAUUCUUAACGGGAUGGCUUUUCAUUAGUGUAAAGAGCUUUUGGAAUAAGAGCUGGGCAAGACCGGUGCCAGCCGCCGCGGUAACACCGGCAGCUCUAGUGGUAGCAAUUUUUAUUGGGCCUAAAGCGUCCGUAGCCGGUUUAAUAAGUCUCUGGUGAAAUCCUGCAGCUUAACUGUGGGAAUUGCUGGAGAUACUAUUAGACUUGAGAUCGGGAGAGGUUAGAGGUACUCCCAGGGUAGAGGUGAAAUUCUGUAAUCCUGGGAGGACCGCCUGUUGCGAAGGCGUCUAACUGGAACGAUUCUGACGGUGAGGGACGAAAGUUAGGGGCGCGAACCGGAUUAGAUACCCGGGUAGUCCUAACUGUAACGAUGCGGACUUGGUGUUGGGGUGGCUUUGAGCUGCUCCAGUGCCGAAGGGAAGCUGUUAAGUCCGCCGCCUGGGAAGUACGGUCGCAAGACUGAAACUUAAAGGAAUU